rnacentral:rRNA from 1 species
GACGAACGCUGGCGGCGUGCUUAACACAUGCAAGUCGGGCGGAAAGGCCCUUUCGGGGGUACUCGAGCGGCGAACGGGUGAGUAACACGUGAGUAAUCUGCCCCUGGCUUUGGGAUAGCCACCGGAAACGGUGAUUAAUACCGGAUACGACCACUUCUCGCAUGGGAUGGUGGUGGAAAGUUUUUCGGCCAGGGAUGUGCUCGCGGCCUAUCAGCUUGAUGGUGAGGUAAUGGCUCACCAUGGCUUCGACGGGUAGCCGGCCUGAGGGGGUGACCGGUCACACUGGGACUGAGACACGGCCGAGGCUCCUACGGGAGGCAGCAGUGGGGAAUAUUGGACAAUGGGCGGAAGCCUGAUCCAGCAACGCCGCGUGAGGGAUGACGGCCUGCGGGUUGUAAGCCUCUUUCAGCAGGGACGAAGCGCAAGUGACGGUACCUGCAGAAGAAGCACCGGCCAACUACGUGCCAGCAGCCGCCGUAA